UCUCUUUCUUCUUCUCUUUCUUCAAUUUCUUCUUCUUUUUCCUCUUCUUCUCCUUAUCCCCCCACUCAUAUCAAAGUGGAUCGAGAGGAGUACUUAACAUUAACAGAUCGGAUUAUAGAAGAUAAUCAACAAAUUUUGAA
rnacentral:ribozyme from 13 species